rnacentral:rRNA from 1 species
AGAGUAGAACGCUGGCGGUAGGCCUAACACAUGCAAGUCAAACGGCAGCACAGUAGGAGCUUGCUCUUACGGGUGGCGAGUGGCGGACGGGUGAGGAAUACAUCGGAAUCUACCUUUUGGUGGGGGAUAACGUAGGGAAACUUACGCUAAUACCGCAUACGCCCUUCGGGGGAAAGCCGGGGACCAGCAAUGGCCUGGCGCUGAUAGAUGAGCCGAUGUCGGAUUAGCUAGUUGG